rnacentral:rRNA from 1 species
CCUACGGGAGGCAGCAGUGGGGGAUAUUGCACAAUGGGGGAAACCCUGAUGCAGCGACGCCGCGUGGGUGAAGAAGUACUUCGGUAUGUAAAGCUCUGUCAGCAGGGAAGAAAAUGACGGUACCUGAACAAGAAGCCCCGGCUAACUACGUGCCAGCAGCCGCGGUAAUACGUAGGGGGCAAGCGUUAUCCGGAUUUACUGGGUGUAAAGGGAGCGUAGACGGCAGUGCAAGUCUGGAGUGAAAGCCCGGGGCCCAACCCCGGGACUGCUCUGGAAACUGCGUGGCUGGAGUGCAGGAGGGGUAGGUGGAAUUCCUGGUGUAGCGGUGAAAUGCGUAGAUAUCAGGAGGAACACCGGUGGCGAAGGCGGCCUGCUGGACUGCAACUGACGUUGAGGCCCGAAAGCGUGGGGAGCAAACAGGAUUAGAUACCCUUGUAGUC